UUAAAUUGAAGAGUUUGAUCAUGGCUCAGAUUGAACGCUGGCGGCAGGCCUAACACAUGCAAGUCGAACGGUAUUGAAGAGUUUGAUCAUGGCUCAGAUUGAACGCUGGCGGCAGGCCUAACACAUGCAAGUCGAACGGUA
rnacentral:rRNA from 1 species